ensembl:lncRNA OSTN-AS1 OSTN antisense RNA 1
CCUGCCUCAGCUUCCCAAGGAGCUGGGAUUACAGAGACGGGGUUUCACCAUAUUGGGCAGGCUGGUCUCGAACUCCUGACCUCAAGCGAUCCACCCGCCUUGACCUCUCGAAGUUCUGGGAUUACAACUGUGAACCACUGCACCCGGCCCAUAAGUUAUUUAAAUGAUGGAAAAAUUCUAUAAAGAGAAAAUUCCACCUCCUCUACUGUUAGUGGUGAAGCUCACAUAAGAAAGAGCCAGCUGAGAGUCUGUCAAGGGGAGACCCAAAACCAGAGAAACUCCUUUUCUUCUUUGUCUCAAUCACAUCAUUUUCUAGGGACACCAAUUCAUCAAGAAGCAAGAGUUUUGCUGUCAGUUCCUCCUGCAUUCAUUCUUCCUGCUGCCUUGUGAAGAAGGUGCCUUGCUUCCCCUUUGCCUUCCACCAUGAUUGUAAGUUUAACGAGGACUCCCCAGCCAUGCAGAACUGUUCACAACCUUGAAUGGCAUGUUGGCAAUAAAAAGAAGACAAUAAAAAA